UACGGAGGGGGGCUAGCGUUGUUCGGAAUUAUUGGGCGUAAAGAGCUCGUAGGCGGUCUGUCGCGUCGGAUGUGAAAAUCCAGGGCUUAACCCUGGACCUGCAUUCGAUACGGGGCAGACUAGAGUUCGGUAGGGGAGACUGGAAUUCCUGGUGUAGCGGUGAAAUGCGCAGAUAUCAGGAGGAACACCGGUGGCGAAGGCGGGUCUCUGGGCCGAUACUGACGCUGAGGAGCGAAAGCGUGGGGAGCGAACAGG
rnacentral:rRNA from 1 species